GAUGAACGCUGGCGGCGUGCCUAAUACAUGCAAGUCGAGCGAACAGACGAGGAGCUUGCUCCUCUGACGUUAGCGGCGGACGGGUGAGUAACACGUGGAUAACCUACCUAUAAGACUGGGAUAACUUCGGGAAACCGGAGCUAAUACCGGAUAAUAUAUUGAACCGCAUGGUUCAAUAGUGAAAGACGGUUUUGCUGUCACUUAUAGAUGGAUCCGCGCCGCAUUAGCUAGUUGGUAAGGUAACGGCUUACCAAGGCAACGAUGCGUAGCCGACGUGAGAGGGUGAUCGGCCACACUGGAACUGAGACACGGUCCAGACUCCUACGGGAGGCAGCAGUAGGGAAUCUUCCGCAAUGGGCGAAAGCCUGACGGAGCAACGCCGCGUGAGUGAUGAAGGUCUUCGGAUCGUAAAACUCUGUUAUUAGGGAAGAACAAAUGUGUAAGUAACUAUGCACGUCUUGACGGUACCUAAUCAGAAAGCCACGGCUAACUACGUG
rnacentral:rRNA from 1 species